GAGAUGCUCUCCGCACCACACUGCUGCUGCUGCUACUGAGGGAGAGGAAGGGGUCGCAUCUGAGAUUCAGGAUUGUUUUAUCUGCCUCUUCAGUGCCUGUUUCAGUGAUAUGAAGUUAAAACCAGGAUGACAGAUUCCCUGCCAUUGUGUAUAUGUGGCUCAAUACCCUGCAUCUAGAUCCGUGAUGGUAAAUAUGCUACGUUUAGCCUGAAGCCAGCCUGAGCCAAGAAAAGGGAGAAGGUUUUGCUGUUUAAUCAAAGUAGGAGUUUUGAUUUAUAUUUUGUACUGAAAGUUUUAUUUUUUGAAAUUAGUCUGUUGGCCACUUCCAAUGUAUGUAGAACUGUGUUACCUAAGAAUGAGCAGAAA